GGAGGUGUAGCUCAGUGGUAGAGUGCUUGCCUAGUAUGCACGAGGCCCUGGAUUCAAUCCCCAGCACUGCCA